AUGAGAGACAAAUGGAAGAGCAUCCUUGAUGGCUCGGCGACACUACGCACGGAGACGGGAGACGUCGACACCAGAAUCGAAGCAACAAGCGAACAGGACUUUCAGGCUUGGUUCCAGAAACCAUUAUCUAAGGAGGUAGGGGCGACUUUGGAAGCCCUGUUCAACAUUCAUAUGCCGGACACCGAACACGUUGACAAGGCACUGAUGGGAAUUGCAGGUGAAGCUAUAGAAGAAAUACAUGAUGAGAUGGAUAAUCUGCAAGCGGAAGCAAGGAGCAAUGCUGCAGCACGUCUGGUGGCUGUCUGGUUCCUUGCCAGCCUGUCCGGGUGUAUUUUGGUUUUAGAUGAUGUACUGCAACUCAGUUUUAGUCCCUUUUGCAAUCGGCUGCGCUGAGCUGCUGGUUGUGGGUUUUAUUUUGGUCGAGAUGUUGUACUGCAUCUUAGUUUCAGCUUCAAUUACGAACAACUCCGGAUAUGUUGCGCUGCUGCUAGCUUCCAGCCUUGUUGUAGAAUACUAUUCCAAGGCAAUGAUGGCCCUUAUUAAUUUAACAACUGUUAAUUG